ACGGAGGGAGCUAGCGUUGUUCGGAAUUACUGGGCGUAAAGCGCGCGUAGGCGGUUAUUCAAGUCAGAGGUGAAAGCCCGGGGCUCAACCCCGGAACGGCCUUUGAAACUAGAUAACUAGAAUCUUGGAGAGGUCAGUGGAAUUCCGAGUGUAGAGGUGAAAUUCGUAGAUAUUCGGAAGAACACCAGUGGCGAAGGCGACUGACUGGACAAGUAUUGACGCUGAGGUGCGAAAGCGUGGGGAGCAAACAGG
rnacentral:rRNA from 1 species